rnacentral:rRNA from 1 species
AUGAACGCUGGCGGCGUGCCUAAUACAUGCCAGUCGAGCGAACAGACGAGGAGCUUGCUCCUCUGACGUUAGCGGCGGACGGGUGAGUAACACGUGGAUAACCUACCUAUAAGACUGGGAUAACUUCGGGAAACCGGAGCUAAUACCGGAUAAUAUAUUGAACCGCAUGGUUCAAUAGUGAAAGACGGUUUUGCUGUCACUUAUAGAUGGAUCCGCGCCGCAUUAGCUAGUUGGUAAGGUAACGGCUUACCAAGGCAACGAUGCGUAGCCGACCUGAGAGGGUGAUCGGCCACACUGGAACUGAGACACGGUCCAGACUCCUACGGGAGGCAGCAGUAGGGAAUCUUCCGCAAUGGGCGAAAGCCUGACGGAGCAGCGCCGCGUGAAUGAUGAAGGUCUUCGGAUCGUAAAACUCUGUUAUUAGGGAAGAACAAAUGUGUAAGUAACUAUGCACGUCUUGACGGUACCUAAUCAGAAAGCCACGGCUAACUACGUG